rnacentral:rRNA from 1 species
UACGUAGGGUGCAAGCGUUACUCGGAAUUACUGGGCGUAAAGCGUGCGUAGGCGGUUUGUUAAGUCUGUCGUGAAAGCCCCCGGCUCAACCUUGGAGUGUCAUUGGAAACUGGGGGACUUGAGGGCAGGAGAGGAGAGCGGAAUUCCACGUGUAGCGGUGAAAUGCGUAGAGAUGUGGAGGAACACCAGUGGCGAAGGCGGCUCUCUGGCCUGCACCUGACGCUGAGGCGCGAAAGCGUGGGGAGCAAACAGG